AACAAUUCUAAUAAUAAAUUAAAUAUUUAGGAAACGAAGUGAAUUGAAAUAUCUUAAUAACUUCAGGAAAAUAAAUCAAAAGAGAUUUCUUGAGUAAUGUGAAUGAAACGGAACGAGUCUUAAUUUUGUUGCAGGUAUUGCAUGCUUUUUUGAAGCAGAUAAUAUCGGUAAAAAAUUAAAAAGUAAAAUGGAGUGCAUAUCUGUUUGAAUAUAAGGGGAACCUUCCUCUAAGACUAAAUAUAAUAUAUAAGCGAUAGCGUACAGUACUGUGAGGGAAAUGAUUGAAAUAGUAAUUUUAUAAGCAGCUCAAAAAUGGUUUAAAUAUACAAUAAGAGCGUACCUUUUGCAUAAUGGGUCAGCAAGUUAAUAUUUGAUGCGAGCAGUAAUUUUUUUUAAUGCAAAGAUAAAACAAUUGUGAUAUAUUGAUGUAGUAUCAAAAUUAGACCCGAAGCCUAGUGAUCUUACCAUGAUCAGGAUUAUAAAAGUCCGAACGGGUUAUCGUUGUAAAGAUAUCCGAAGAAUUGUGGUAAGUUAGUGAAAGACAAGACUGACUAGGAUAGCUGGUUUUCUGCGAAACCUAUAGAAGUAGGUAAUUUAAAUAAAAUAUCAGAAGGUACAGAAUUGUGAUCUCAUAUAACUAGUGUUCUUCUUUUUUAUUAAUUUAUUUUUUUAACCAAUUGAAACAAAUGAAAUAAGAUAAAAGAUAUACUUUUUGUGGACAUUGGGGGGUCGGGAAGGCCCUAUCAGUGAGUAUUUGUUCUCGGAAGGACUAGAUAUGUAUUUUAAAUAAUCGGACAUAGUACGAAAAGGUUGUAUGUCUAAAGGGAAACAGCCCAGAACAAGAGUUAAUAAGGUUCCAAAAUUUUUGUUAAGUGAAAAUAAGGCAGUUUUUAUCCUAACCGGCCAGGGAAUAGACUUAGAAGCGGCCAUUUCUUGAAGACCUCGUAACAGAGCACUGGUUUUAAUUGUUAUACGGAUAAAAGCACCGAAAAUUUAACGGAUCUAAACAAAAUACCGAAACCUUGUCCUUAUAUUUUAAUAUAUAUACAAUAUAUGUUGUAUAUAAGGGGUAGCGGAAUAUUGAGCAAUCAUUUUUAAUCCUUUAUAAGGAUUAAAACGUCUUUAGAUCUUACAAACAAAAUCUAAAAACUAAAUAAGCCCAAGUAAGAAUGCUGACACGAGUAACGAUAAAGGAGAGCUGCUCUCCUCGCCUAAAGCUUAUGGCAUUUAAUUAAAGUUACGGCCUCUAAGUUUAAUAUAAUUACAUAAUUAUCUAUUUUUUAUAUUGAUAUAUAACAUUUAUAUUAUAUGGAUUGUACUAUUUAUGUCUAUUACCUAAUGGUAUAAACGAUGAGAAAACCUAGAGUUUACAGAAAUAAACAUUUUUUAUAUUACAUAAACAUUAAGAUUAAGUAAAUUAAGUGAAAUAUGUUCUGGAAAACUGUAAAUUCCGUAAAUAAAAAUAUACUUAAACAGAUUAUAUUUUAAGUUUACGCCAUAAUACCGUACCUAAAUACUAACACAAGUGAGCAAGUAGAAAAUACGAAGGCGUUCGAGCUAACAAUCAUUAAGGAACUCGGCAAAAUGACUCUCGUAACUUCGGGAUAAGGAGGGCCAUUUCUUCUGAUUAAUAUCAGGUAAGAAACAGGUAGCAUAAAAUUGUGUUGUACGACUGUUUAAUUAAAACAAAGCACGCUGCGAAGAAAUUAAUUCGAUGUAUUGAGUGUGAUCUCUGCCCAAUGGCGGCUGGUUAACUAAUUUGCUUAGUUGACUAAAUUAAGCUAGGCUUUGAUGGAAACCCCGUUUAAUGGCGGCCUUACCUAUAAGGGUCCUAAGGUAGCGGAAUACCUUGGCCGUUAAAUGCGGUCUUGCAUGAAUGAUGUAACGAUACAACAGCUGUCUCUAUGAUUGGCUCGGUGAAAUUGGAAUAACUGUGCAGAUACAGUUUACCUCUAGUUAGACGAGAAGACCCUAUGCAGCUUUACUGUUGCUAGUUAUUGAAUAUGAUAUAAUGAGUUGUAGUGUAUAAGGUAAUUAAUAUAGAAUUGAAACACCUUUACUUCAUUUAUCAUGUUAUAUAAACCUUAAAUAAAUAUAUAUCAAUACUGGUUGUGUGAAUUAAUAGGAACAAUUGCUAGGUGGCAGUUUAUGCGGGGCACAGAUCCCAUAAAGAGUACCUGGGAAUAUCCAAAAUUAUUCAUCAAGUUUAACGGCUUAAUCUUGCUUUACUGUUUGACUUACACGUCUUUCAGUUGCGUAAGCUGGGCAUAUGAUCACAAGAUGCAGAAAGGAAAGGUCUUGGAUUAAUGAAAAAGUUACGCUAGGGAUAACAGGCUAAUCGCGCCAGAGAGUUCAAAUUGAGUGCGCGGUUUGGCACCUCGAUGUCGACUUAGCUCAUCCACAUGAAUGCAGGAAUCAUGAAGGGUCCGACUGUUCGUCGAUUAAAGAGCUACACGAGUUGGGUUAAAUACGUUGUGAGACAGUAUGGUUUCUAUCUUCUAGAGGAAGUUGGAAUAGAUUAAGGAUAUCCCCUUGUACGAGAGGAAUUGGGUAUAUUAACCCAUGGUUUACCUGUUGUUUGUGUUCCCAUAUUAUUGUAACUAAUAAAGAUUAUUUCUUCAAUUUGUUAUAGCCUCUGAGUUUAUAACCAAAAAAAAAAACAAAAUUUUUGGUGGUAUAGUUUAUGCUGGGGUUUACUUUUCACUACAAUAAAAUUUAUUAAGGCAGUAAGAUGCCUAAUAAAAAGGCACGGCAGGAAAGCUACGUUAGUGAAUGAUAAGUGCUGAAUGCAUCUAGGCACGAAACAUACCUUAGGAUAUUCUCAUAUAUACGUAGUUUAACACUACAAUUUUAAUUAUUUAUUAAUAG
rnacentral:rRNA from 1 species